CCAGUUGUAAUAGCGGGAAGCAGCUGAUGCUAACGCUAGAUGCUAAUGUUAGCUACGCACCUGACAGCGUCGCCGCCAUGACGGCUCUGUUUCUUUUAGGAUACACAAAGGAACAAAUGCAUUUUAUUAUACAGAAAAGGUAAAGUUUCAGCAAAUGAAAGUGACUUUUUAACAGUAUCUUUAUGUGCUGUUUGUUUUCCUAUGACUAGUCAGCAGAGUUUAGUCUAUUGCAACUACCGGAACUUGAUAUCAAGGAUUUGUCUCUUAGGGAAGAAGACGAUAGUAGGACCAAAAUGUAGUCCAUUGAGGUGGAGGAGGACAGAACAGGAUCAUGCCACCUGCUGUGUAAGGAUUCAACCUCUACUCCACACUGCCCAAUACGAACCUGCUGCAGGGAAAACAUCCUCCCCUUUGUGCCCGGCUCAAUGCGUCCACAUGUACGACCAGUUGAAGUACGACAAUGAGAAAACGUCAAAGAAUGCAACAAGUACCUCUGACUCUGUAAACAGCUUUGAUGGUGAGUUUAGUUGAG